rnacentral:rRNA from 1 species
AUGAACGCUGGCGGCGUGCCUAAUCCAUGCAAGUCGAGCGAACAGACGAGGAGCUUGCUCCUCUGACGUUAGCGGCGGACGGGUGAGUAACACGUGGAUAACCUACCUAUAAGACUGGGAUAACUUCGGGAAACCGGAGCUAAUACCGGAUAAUAUAUUGAACCGCAUGGUUCAAUAGUGAAAGACGGUUUUGCUGUCACUUAUAGAUGGAUCCGCGCCGCAUUAGCUAGUUGGUAAGGUAACGGCUUACCAAGGCAACGAUGCGUAGCCGACCUGAGAGGGUGAUCGGCCACACUGGAACUGAGACACGGUCCAGACUCCUACGGGAAGCAGCAGUAGGGAAUCUUCCGCAAUGGGCGAAAGCCUGACGGAGCAACGCCGCGUGAGUGAUGAAGGUCUUCGGAUCGUAAAACUCUGUUAUUAGGGAAGAACAAAUGUGUAAGUAACUAUGCACGUCUUGACGGUACCUAAUCAGAAAGCCACGGCUAACUACGUG